UACGAAGGGUGCAAGCGUUAGUCGGAAUUACUUGGCGUAAAGCGUGCGUAGGUGGUUUUUUAAGUCCGUUGUGAAAUCCCUGGGCUCAACCUGGGAACUGCAGUGGAUACUGAGAGGCUAGAGUGUGUCAGAGGAUGGUGGAAUUCGAGGUGUAGCGGUGAAAUGCGUAGAGAUCGGGAGGAACAUCAGUUGCGAAGGCGGCCAUCUGGGACAACACUGACGCUGAGGCACGAAAGCGUGGGGAGCAAACAGG
rnacentral:rRNA from 1 species